AACGAACGCUGGCGGCAUGCCUAACACAUGCAAGUCGAACGAGACCUUCGGGUCUAGUGGCGCACGGGUGCGUAACGCGUUGGAACCUGCCCUUAGGUUCGGAAUAACUCCCCGAAAGGGGUGCUAAUACCGGAUAAUGUCUUCGGACCAAAGAUUUAUCGCCUUUGGAUGGGCCCGCGUUGUAUUAGCUAGUUGGUAGGGUAAAAGCCUACCAAGGCGACGAUCCAUAGCUGGUCUGAGAGGAUGAUCAGCCACACUGGGCCUGAGACACGGCCCAGACUCCUACGGGAGGCAGCAGUGGGGAAUAUUGGACAAUGGGCGAAAGCCUGAUCCAGCAAUGCCGCGUGAGUGAUGAAGGCCUUAGGGUUGUAAAGCUAUUUUACCCGGGAUGAUAAUGACAGUACCGGGAGAAUAAGCUCCGGCUAACUCCGUG
rnacentral:rRNA from 1 species